rnacentral:misc_RNA from 1 species
GCCCCCCGCAAGAUUAGAUUUCCCAUUCCUUUAUGGAAGUAAGACCCCUGAGAGAUGAUCAGGUAGAUAGGUUGGAAGUGGAAGUGCCGUGAGGCAUGGAGCGGACCAAUACUAAUCGGUCGAGGACUUAACCAAGUCGGAAACAAUGUUUCCGCGUAGUGUUCAAAGGUCAAAGAAAAUAGAAGGUCCAGUUUUGAGAGCACAAAGUUCUCAGAUAGUGGUGUGGUGACAAUGGCAGGAAGGAUACACCUGUUCCCAUGUCGAACACAGAAGUUAAGCUUC